ACGGUCACAUAAAAGAUCGUUAU
rnacentral:snRNA from 1 species